CUGCAGGUCUAGGAUGGACCCU
rnacentral:siRNA from 1 species